UUUUAAAUAAACGUUACAUUCACAGCAUUCACAGGUUCCAGAGAUUAGGAAUGGAUAUCUAUCUAUCAUUUGUCUAUCUGUCUGUCUAUCUGUCUAUCUAUCUAUCUAUCUAUCUAUCUAUCUAUCUAUCUAUCUAUCUAUCUAUCCAUCCAUCCAUCCAUCUAGCAUUAUUUCUGUGUUGGGAUACAUGUCCUUCUGAAAUUGCCAUGAGGCAACAAGAAAAUGAAUGGCCAUAAAAUCUUAUGUGAAAUACUUGGGCCUAGCAUUGCUUUGGAAUUCAAAAUGUUUAUUAAAAAAAUAAGGUACUUUAUUACAUAACACUGUCAGCAUGGACAAGACAUGCACCCUGCAAUGUGACACAUUAACUUACUAUGACAAAAUCUUAUGAGCAUUCACAGGGGAUAUAACUUCAUACCAGUUAAGGUUAGUUACAAUUCAGUUCAUGUCAAGUCAAGUUUCUCCACUAAAGCAGUUUCAAAGAAUAUAAGACAACAUAAAACAAACAAAAGCAUAAUUUUCAUAGGGCUUGGAUCUCAGAAAUGUGACUAUGGGAUUCUGGGCUUGUACUUAGACUAGGUCCAGAUUAAUUUAAGAGAGACUCCACAUGGCCUGUCUAAAUUUCCUAUUUCCAUGUGUCUAAAGAUGCAUUAAAUAAUGAAGGUAUAUUUAAAAAAUAAUGUUAGAUGAAAUCUGAAAAAAAUACUGUUGUGAGGUAAGGCCAUAAGGUCAAUACUGCUGGCAUAACACUAACAAAGAAACCCAAGUCUAAAAAUUGUCUAAUGUCUCAUAAACAACAAAAGUUAAAUUUCACUUAUAUAGGGCCCAGACAGAUGUUUCUGAUUGGCAGGCUUACUCUUCAAGUAGUAGUGUCUCUGACUACCAGAUUUCCUCCAUCCUGUGCCUAGGCCAUGUUCAAUAGAAUACAUUCAAGGCAACUAUGCUACUUUAUAUAAAUUCAGCAGAAAGAAGAAAAAAAUAAAAAAGAUGGAAAAUGCGCUUACUCUUUUCUGUCACCUUAGGAAAUAACAGAUACCACUUUGUCUCAUAUCCUCUUGGCAAAAUCUAGCCACGUGGCUCCAUCCUGAUGCCAGAGAGGCUGAAAUAUGCAGACUGCUCAGCUCCUUGCCAAAUCUUUCAUUAUGAUGGGGGAUAAUGAAUUUAAUUGAACAGUUUGCUGUAUCUGUCACACAUUCUAGAACUGAGAUAAUUUCGCAAAAAUGCAACAUCAGUGAUGCUUAUUCAUACACUGCCCUGCAAGUAAGGACACUGUGGUUGAUUGUAAAAGUAAAACAUUCCAACUCUCCCUAUAAUUCUGGAAUGUACAAGCUGCCUUAAUCAAGGAAAAAAUAUAAAAUCACUCUCACACCUGCCAUUCAUCACUUCCUUUCUUUCUAUAUCUAUUCAGGGAUUUCAAGUUCCAGAAUAAGAUCCAUACAACAAGAUCAAAAUUAGAUGGAGAUUGCGAGUGUUCCAUUGCAGUAUGUUGAUAUUAAGAAAGAAAAAUAUAUAAACAAAUAAAAGGUUUAUAACAGUUACAAUAUUUCUGAAAUAUUUACAAAUUUAGACACUUUCAUCAUGAAAUAAGUUGACUCUUAUGGAUGGUAGGAAUACAUUCAAGUUGAAAGUAUUAAUAGGAACACAGACCCAUGUCUUAUUUCUCUUCUGUAGACUGCAGUUCCAGAAACAGUAGCAGGCUAAUGUUUUAGAUAAUUUAAUGGGGAACUCUAUCCAGAUUUGUGUUUAGGAAAAUGGAGAAAAAAAUACACAGAAUCACACCACUGUAACACUAAUCUUAAUAUAUUACUUAUCAACUAUUGUAUACUGUACAUAUUUCUCAUAAUUAUAGUCAUAAUAUUAAGAUUUAUAUCAACUAUUUUCCAAGAUUAUAUAACACCAGUGAGCUACCUAUUUUAUUAUUUAAGCUGCAUAUUUAACAUAAAUUUAAAAGCUAAUUAUGUGGUCUCUAAAAGAAAAAAGCAAAUUCAGAUUUAUAUUGUUCUUGGAAUUUAUGGGCUUAGCUGGAAUUUAUGAAAGAUCCAGACUAUCUACCCACUCUAGAAAGAAAAUAUUUUGAAAUACUUUGGAUCAAUGGUUAUUGAGCUUCUGUUUAACAUGAACAGUAAUUAUGAAAUCAGUGCCAAUUUUACUUAUUGAUUUCUAGUAGUAAUACUAAAAAUAACCAAUGAUAAUGUGAGAUUGGAAGUUUAAAAAAUAAAAAAGCUAGGCAUAAACUUAUAGGUCAUGACCCUAAAGAUACCAUUUCAAUUCUCUAAAUACUCAUUAAUUUCUAUCUCUUAGUGGAGCUUUUCAGCCUACUUCUAAGUGACCAAACUCAUCACAUCUCAUUUUAUUUAAUUAAAGCCCUGAAUCAUUUCAUAAAUUUUAUUGAUUAAGUCAAGGUCCAAGAUAUCUUAUUUGGUUUGGAGCCAUUCAGGAAAAGAGAAACCACACCAGUUAUUCUAACAGAGAAUAUGAUAAUGAAAUGAGUUGGUUAAAGACAUAUUAGAGGGUUAAAAUGGCAAAAAUAGAAAAAUAACAUAGUAACUGCAGAAAGCACAAACCAAUUCUUGAGCUGUAGGACAAAAAUAAAAGAAGUUUGGGUUCUUUAAAGCUGGAAGCUUAGCGGGGAAGCACGGAGAUCUCAGAAGGGGUUGUCGUACUGGUAUCUUUGAGGAGGUAAGUGGAGAUGGUUCAGGGAGCAGAAACAAACUGGAACCAGUGUGAAUGGCAUCAUCCAGUGUCUUCCUCAGGCAGGUGAGUAGUCAAGUUCUUUUAUCUUUGUCUCUACAUAGAUUUCCAAUGAAUGACUUCCCUGUGACCUCAGCUUCCUGAUUCCUUGAUGUUGAUGGCUGCUGACUGAUCAGGAUGUUGUUGCUGAAGGUUGGGUGGUUGUGGCAAUUUCUGAAAAUGAGGCAACAACAAAGUUUGCU
rnacentral:lncRNA from 1 species